rnacentral:rRNA from 1 species
UACAGAGGUCCCAAGCGUUGUUCGGAUUCAUUGGGCGUAAAGGGUGCGUAGGCGGCGCGGUAAGUCGGGUGUGAAAUCUCGGGGCUUAACUCCGAAACUGCAUUCGAUACUGCCGUGCUUGAGGACUGGAGAGGAGACUGGAAUUUACGGUGUAGCGGUGAAAUGCGUAGAUAUCGAUAAGGAAGACCAGUGGCGAAGGCGGGUCUCUGGACAGUUCCUGACGCUGAGGCACGAAGGCCAGGGGAGCAAACGGG